rnacentral:rRNA from 1 species
GACGAACGCUGGCGGCGUGCCUAAUACAUGCAAGUCGAACGCAGUGGGGACGGGGGAGUAACACGUGGGUAACCUCCCAUCAGAGGGGAUAACACUUGGAAACAGGUGCUAACCCGACAUUGAUGGAUGGACCCGCGGGGCAUUAGCUUGUUGGUGGGGUAACGGCUCACCAAGGCCACGAUGCAUAGCCGACCUGAGAGGGUGAUCGGCCACACUGGGACUGAGACACGGCCCAGACUCCUACGGGAGGCAGCAGUGGGGAAUCUUGGGCAAUGGACGAAAGUCUGACCGAGCCAUGCCGCGUGAGUGAAGAAGGUUUUCGGAUUGUAAAGCUCUGUUGUUAGAGAGGCGGUAUCUACAGAGGAAGCACCGGCUAACUACGUGCCAGCAGCCGCGGUAAUAC